CAUUAGAUGGCCGAAAAUAAGCCAUGGAAUUUUAAACCAUUGAAUAGUAUACAAUACUUCUAAUGA
rnacentral:tRNA from 1 species